rnacentral:rRNA from 1 species
UCUACCUAGUAGUAUGGAAUAAUUGUUGGAAACGGCAACUAAUACCGUAUACGCCCUACGGGGGAAAAAUUUAUUGCUAUUGGAUGAGCCUAUAUUAGAUUAGCUAGUUGGUGGAGUAAUAGCCUACCAAGGCAAUGAUCUAUAGCUGAUCUGAGAGGAUGAUCAGCCACACUGGAACUGAGAUACGGUCCAGACUCCUACGGGAGGCAGCAGUGGGGAAUAUUGGACAAUGGGCGAAAGCCUGAUCCAGCCAUGCCGCAUGAGUGAAGAAGGCCUUUGGGUUGUAAAGCUCUUUUAGUGAGGAAGAUAAUGACGGUACUCACAGAAGAAGUCCUGGCUAACUCCGUGCCAGCAGCCGCGGUAAUACGGAGAGGGCUAGCGUUAUUCGGAAUUAUUGGGCGUAAAGGGCGCGUAGGCUGGUUAAUAAGUUAAAAGUGAAAUCCCGAGGCUUAACCUUGGAAUUGCUUUUAAAACUAUUAAUCUAGAGAUUGAAAGAGGAUAGAGGAAUUCCUGAUGUAGAGGUAAAAUUCGUAAAUAUUAGGAGGAAC